GACAGAGGGUGCAAACGUUGUUCGGAAUUACUGGGCGUAAAGCGCGUGUAGGCGGCAAUACAAGUCGGAUGUGAAAUCCCGCGGCUUAACCGUGGAAGUGCACCCGAAACUGUAUCGCUAGAGUCCCGGAGAGGAUGGUGGAAUACUUGGUGUAGAGGUGAAAUUCGUAGAUAUCGGAAGGAACACCAGUGGCGAAAGCGGCUUCCUGGUCCAGCACCGACGUUCAGGCACGAAAGCGUGGGGAGCAAACAGG
rnacentral:rRNA from 1 species